AAAACGCGGAAAACAAACUUUGAAACCAAACUAUACUUAAAACUUCGUUUAAGAUACGUUUUAGGUUUUGGAGUGCUAAAUCAGUAUCAUUACUUCGAAGAUUAUAUUCUCUAUUAAGAUGUUUAAUUUUUAUAAAUUUUUCUCUAAGACUUGGAGCGGACUGCUCAUUAAGAAUUUUAUACAUCAAAAUGCUGUUCACCCAAUGACGUCUUACAUCAUAUGCCCACCGACUAAUAAUCAUACACCUACUAUGUAAAGGCCGGUUUACACCAUCAAAGUUACUGUGAUCAAAGUGACGUCAUCUCGCCCAAGCAAACCUGUGACUUAAAUACUUGUGGGUAGUAGCGGCCGUAUUUGUUUCCGCGAGAAAAAAGAUUCACUUCGCCAUUACUGGAUAAGUAUAGCGGGUCAGUUAUAAUUCUCUCAAGUCUGUUAUUUAAUUUAAGAAAUGCCGACUUGACGCCAACGGAACCUGAUAAUUUGAGAAAAACACUUGCGGUUUGACAAAGAAUACCACCUACGCAGUAAUUGGCUAAUCGCUUUCAGUGCGAAUAUCUUGCCAUAGGCUUAGUCGCUUUAUAGAGAUAGUCUAUACUGCAUUAUCCAUACAAGCGUCGAGUCUGUAAAAAUUUUCAUGAUGCAUAUACUUAAAACAUAACAUUUUGAC